AUAAUUAUUUAAUAUUGAUGCAGGGGCUGCCACGACUUAACAAUAUAUUAAUGACCAAUAUUUCAUUACUGUGGGUUUGGGGACAGUCAGCCUUAAUAGCAGGAGGCUAAACCAGAGUGACUAAAGAGCAUCAGAGGAUUUCGGAUAGCACAGGCGGCAAAGGUCCAUAGUGAGACAGCCACGGGGCAAAGGCAACUGGCUUUCUUUACUGAAGAACUACUUUGUGUCGGAGAACCUACUAUAAGGAGUUAUAUUAGAGGUGAAGUUUCUCAUGCAUGGAGAGACUAGGAGUGAUGGUUGACCCCAAUAUCUUUUUUUUUUUUUUAGAAACAGGGUCUUGCUCUGUGGCUCAGGCUAGAGUGCAGUGGCAUAAUCAUAGCUCACUGUAGCCUCGAGCUCCUGGGCUGUAGGGA
rnacentral:lncRNA from 10 species